rnacentral:rRNA from 1 species
AUGGCUCAGCAAGGUGGACAGAAUCAGGUGUCCGGUGCCACUUCCCGAAGGCUCGCCUGGUCCAACCGUUGCCAAGAUGCUUGGCGGGUGCUUAGCAAAAUGCCCUCAGGGAAAGACGAAGGAAAGGAUAGUGAAGCCGAACUUCACACACCGCGCAUCCGGACCAAGGGAAUUGCUUCCUCCCCAAGGGAGGGUAGUCAGGGAGGGGAAUCCGAGGCCACCUCCCCGCGCGGGAAGAAAAGGGCCGCCUCCAAAGACUUGGAGAUGGAGAUGCCCAAACAGGGGAAGAAAGUGUUGCCGGGGGGCUCUGCCCCGAUGGGCGUCCUCGCCAUGUCAUGCCUGCCAACGGGCCAGCCCUCAACCGAGCUGUGA